CCUACGGGAGGCAGCAGUGAGGAAUAUUGGUCAAUGGGCUUACGCCUGAACCAGCCAAGUCGCGUGAGGGAAGACUGCCCUAUGGGUUGUAAACCUCUUUUGUCAGGGAGCAACGCCGGCUACGUGUAGCCGGACUGAGAGUACCUGAAGAAAAAGCAUCGGCUAACUCCGUGCCAGCAGCCGCGGUAAUACGGAGGAUGCGAGCGUUAUCCGGAGUUAUUGGGUUUAAGGGGUGCGUAGGCGGAAUGCCAAGUCAGCGGUAAAAUCGCGGGGCCCAACCUCGCUCCGCCGUUGAAACUGGCGUUCUUGAGUGGGCGAGAGGUAUGCGGAAUGCGUGGUGUAGCGGUGAAAUGCAUAGAUAUCACGCAGAACUCCGAUUGCGAAGGCAGCAUACCGGCGCCCAACUGACGCUGAAGCACGAAAGCGUGGGUAUCGAACAGGAUUAGAUACCCGAGUAGUC
rnacentral:rRNA from 1 species